UAUCUCUGUAGAGUCUGCAUAUCAAUAAGCGGAGGAAAAGAAACUAACAUAGGAUUCCCUCAGUAACGGCGAGUGAAGCGGGAAGAGCUCAAAUUUGAAAUCUUCAAGGGUUUACCUUUACGAAUUGUAGUUUAAAGAAGUGUUUUCUGUUGGAAGUUUCGGUAAAAGUUCUUUGGAAAUAGGACAUCAAAGAGGGUGAGAAUCCCGUAUUUGACCAUUAUUUCCAGCUUUGUGAUACACUUUCAAAGAGUCGGAUUGUUUGGGAAUGCAGUCCAAAAUGGGUGGUAAAUUUCAUCUAAAGCUAAAUACUGGCGAGAGACCGAUAGCGAACAAGUACCGUGAGGGAAAGAUGAAAAGAACUUUGAAAAGAGAGUUAAACAGUACGUGAAAUUGUCAAAAGGGAAGCGUUUGACACCAGUGUUGUUUUCUCGAAAAUCAAUUAAAAAUGGCGGGAUUUUGUGUUGUAUUGACUUUAUCAGCUUUCUGCACUUUUUUCUUGUCUUUUUUAAUGCACUUUUCGUUUAACAAGUCAACAUCAAUUUCUUUUGUUGUAAAAGGGUCAUUGGAAGGUGGCUUUCUUUUCGGAGAAAGUGUUUAUAGCCUUUGACUUCUGCAAUCGGAGAGAUUGAGGUCUGCAGCGUAGAUCCUUCGGGGUUAGAUGCAUUUGUGCUAAGUUAUAGCCUUUCAUAGACAACUUGUUGACUAUGAUCAGUCAUGUAGCUUACUCGCUUAUGUUAUUUUACCUACGCUUAGGAUGUUGAUCUCUCACAGUCGAGC
rnacentral:rRNA from 1 species